rnacentral:rRNA from 1 species
UACAGAGGAGCCAAGCGUUGUCCGGAUUGACUGGGCGUAAAGCGCACGCAGGCGGCAUCGCGCGUGGGGUGUGAAAUCUGGCCGCUUAACGGCCAGGCGCCAUCCCAUACGGCGAGGCUGGAGCGAUGCAGAGGUCGGUGGAAUUGCCGGUGUAGUGGUGAAAUGCGUAGAUAUCGGGAGGAACACCAGUGGCGAAGGCGACUUCCUGGCCUGUUCUUGACGCUGAGGCGCGAAAGCUAGGGUAGCAAACGGG